ACGCACGCUGGCGGCGUGCUUCACCCCUGCAAGUCGCACGGAAAGGCCCUGCUUUUGUGGGGUGCUCGAGUGGCGAACGGGUGAGUAACACGUGAGUAACCUGCCCUUGACUUUGGGAUAACUUCAGGAAACUGGGGCUAAUACCGGAUAGGAGCUCCUGCUGCAUGGUGGGGGUUGGAAAGUUUCGGUGGUUGGGGAUGGACUCGCGGCUUAUCAGCUUGUUGGUGGGGUAGUGGCUUACCAAGGCUUUGACGGGUAGCCGGCCUGAGAGGGUGACCGGCCACAUUGGGACUGAGAUACGGCCCAGACUCCUACGGGAGGCAGCAGUGGGGAAUAUUGCACAAUGGGCGGAAGCCUGAUGCAGCAACGCCGCGUGCGGGAUGACGGCCUUCGGGUUGUAAACCGCUUUCGCCUGUGACGAAGCGUGAGUGACGGUAAUGGGUAAAGAAGCACCGGCUAACUACGUG
rnacentral:rRNA from 1 species